UACAGAGGGUGCAAGCGUUAAUCGGAAUUACUGGGCGUAAAGCGCGCGUAGGUGGUUUGUUAAGUUGGAUGUGAAAUCCCCGGGCUCAACCUGGGAACUGCAUCCAAAACUGGCAAGCUAGAGUAUGGUAGAGGGUGGUGGAAUUUCCUGUGUAGCGGUGAAAUGCGUAGAUAUAGGAAGGAACACCAGUGGCGAAGGCGACCACCUGGACUGAUACUGACACUGGAGGUGCGAAAGCGUGGGGAGCAAACAGG
rnacentral:rRNA from 1 species